rnacentral:rRNA from 1 species
UACGAAGGGUGCAAGCGUUGAUCGGAAUUACUGGGCGUAAAGCGCACGUAGGCGGUCAUAUAAGUCGGGUGUGAAAGCCCGCAGCUCAACUUCGGAACUGCCUUUGAUACUGUCUAACUUGAGUAUGGUAGAGGUAAGUGGAAUUCCGGGUGUAGAGGUGAAAUGCGUAGAUAUUCGGAGGAACACCAGUGGCGAAGGCGGCCUACUGGACCAUGACUGACACUGAGGUGCGAAAGCGUGGGGAGCAAACAGG